GGUGAUAUAGCUCAGUUGGUAGAGUGAUGACCUCAUAUGCACAAGGCCCUGGGUUCAAUCCCCAGUAUCACAC
rnacentral:tRNA from 1 species